UCCGAGUUGACCCCGGCAGUCUCCUAUGAGUCCCCGCCAUUACGCGCUGGCAACAUAGAACAAGGGUUGCGCUCGUUGCGGGACUUAACCCAACAUCUCACGACACGAGCUGACGACAACCAUGCACCACCUGUGCGCGGCCCAAAAGGACCUGACAUCUCUGCCAGUUUUCCGCGCAUGUCAAGCCUUGGUAAGGUUCUUCGCGUUGCGUCGAAUUAAGCCACAUGCUCCGCCGCUUGUGCGGGCCCCCGUCAAUUCCUUUGAGUUUUAGCCUUGCGGCCGUACUCCCCAGGCGGGGCGCUUAAUGCGUUAGCUGCGGCACGGAGAACCGGGAAGGUUCCCCACACCUAGCGCCCAACGUUUACGGCGUGGACUAC
rnacentral:misc_RNA from 1 species